CCCUUAGAUGUUCUGGGCCGCACGCGCGCUACACUGAAGGGAUCAGCGUGUUUUCCCUUUCCGAGAGGAACGGGUAACCCGCUGAACCCCCUUCGUGGUAGGGAUCGGAGCUUGCAAUUGUUCUCCGUGAACCAGGAAUUCCCAGUAAGCGCAAGUCAUAAGCUUGCGUUGAUUACGUCCCUGCCCUUUGUACACACCGCCCGUCGCUACUACCGAUUGAACGUUUUAGUGAGGUAUUUGGACUGGGCCUUGGGAGGUUUCGGCCUCCCUUGUUGCUCGGAAAGACUCCCAAACUUGAGCGUUUAGAAGAAGUAAAAGUCGUAACA
rnacentral:rRNA from 1 species